CAGAGGGGCAAGCGUUGUUCGGAAUUACUGGGCGUAAAGGGCGCGUAGGCGGCCUGUUAAGUCGAACGUGAAAUCCCCGGGCCCAACCCGGGAACUGCGUCCGAAACUGGCAGGCUCGAAUCCGGGAGAGGGAUGCGGAAUUCCAGGUGUAGCGGUGAAAUGCGUAGAUAUCUGGAGGAACAUCGGUGGCGAAGGCGGCAUCCUGGACCGGUAUUGACGCUGAGGCGCGAAAGCCAGGGGAGCAAACGGGAUUAGAUACCCCGGUAGUCCUGGCCCUAAACGAUGAAUGCUUGGUGUGGCGGGUAUCGAUCCCUGCCGUGCCGAAGCUAACGCAUUAAGCAUUCCGCCUGGGGAGUACGGUCGCAAGGCUG
rnacentral:rRNA from 1 species